CCUACGGGAGGCAGCAGUGGGGAAUAUUGGGCAAUGGGCGAAAGCCUGACCCAGCAAUGCCGCGUGAAUGAAGAAGGUCUUAGGAUUGUAAAAUUCUGUCCUAUGGGAAGAAACAAAUGACGGUACCAUAGGAGGAAGCCCCGGCUAACUACGUGCCAGCAGCCGCGGUAAUACGUAGGGGGCGAGCGUUGUCCGGAAUUACUGGGCGUAAAGAGAGCGUAGGCGGCACUACAAGUCUCAUGUGAAAUACCCGGGCUUAACUUGGGGGUUGCAUGGGAAACUGUAGAGCUUGAGUACAGGAGAGGCAAGCGGAAUUCCUAGUGUAGCGGUGAAAUGCAUAGAUAUUAGGAGGAACACCAGUGGCGAAGGCGGCUUGCUGGACUGAAACUGACGCUGAGGCUCGAAAGCGUGGGGAGCAAACAGGAUUAGAUACCCUU
rnacentral:rRNA from 1 species